rnacentral:tRNA from 1 species
GAGGGCUUAGCUUAAGUAAAGUGGCUGAUUUGCAUUCAGCAGAUGCAGGGUAGAGUCUUGUAGUCCUUA